CCACUUAAACCAAAUAAAGAUGCACAGUAAUCUCAAAUUGUUAAACAUACCUGCGAACAAGGCCAUUGGGGUCUCUUUCAACAUGAACAAUGUUUUCUGUCCGACCCAGAUCAACUGACCUAUUUAUGCCAUGGCCACUAGCAUUGUCCUCUGUGCUGUCUCCCGAUGACUCAACUUCGUCUUCCUCAACUACAGUUUCUAGCCAAGUGUUCUGGCUGGCGAACAGCAGUGACCUCUCAACAAAUGGUUCUUCUUCAGUUACACAGUGGUCCAUUCUGACAGAGAUCGAGAACAAGGGUUACGAUGCGUAUGGGCCAGACAAGAACUAUGGUUACGAUCUGUAUGUGUGCAUAGAAGACAACAAAUCUAAUUCACGCAUACAUGCAACAGAGAAGAAGCAGCAGGAGACCGGAAGAAGAUCUCUAAGCACAGACGAUACUGUUCACCGCCGGCGUCGAGCGGAGGGGAUGUGAAGAAAAGCUUGAGGCGGAUUUAAUGGUGACUGUUUGCUGUUAACUAGGUUUGUUGCAAUCAAUUCAGCGGGCCCCCCGGCUAUUGUAUAUGCCAGUAUAGUCUGCUCGUAUACUACGUAGAUCAGU